CUACGGAGGGUGCAAGCGUUACUCGGAAUCACUGGGCGUAAAGCGCGCGCAGGCGGUCUUUUAAGUUGGAUGUGAAAGCCUACGGCUCAACCGUAGAACUGCAUCCAAAACUAUUAGACUAGAGUGUGGGAGAGGAAGAUGGAAUUAGUUGUGUAGGGGUAAAAUCCGUAGAGAUAACUAGGAAUACCAAAAGCGAAGGCAAUCUUCUGGAACACUACUGACGCUGAGGCGCGAAAGCGUGGGGAGCAAACAGGAUUAGAAACCCCAGUAGUCC
rnacentral:rRNA from 1 species